UUUAGUGCAACCAUGUUAGGAAAAGCUAUGUGCUAAGUGUAGUGAGCACGCCAAAUACAGUGAGAGGAAAAAAAAUAAAAGAAAUCUGACCUGUUAGUAGCAUGGUGGGCCACAGCACUGUGCUGUGCUGUGAGCCUGGUCUGUCUCCAUCUAAGUUUCUUUAAUGAGAAAACAAAUAAAAUAUUCAAAAAAGAAAUUUUUUUUUUUUUUUUUUGAGACAGAGUCUCGCUCUGUCGCCCAGGCUGGAGUGCAGUGGCGCGAUCUCGGCUCACUGCAAGCUCCGCCUCCCGCGUUCACGUCGUUCUCCACCUCAGCCUCCCGAGUAGCUGGGACUACAUGCGCCCGCCAUCACACCAGGCUAAUUUUUUGUAUUUUUAGUAGAGACGGGGUUUCACCGUGUUAGCCAGGAUGGUCUCGAUCUCCUGACCUCGUGAUCCACCCGCCUCAGCCUCCCAAAGUGCUGGGAUUACAGGCGUGAGCUACUGCGCCCGGCCUAAAAUAUAUAUUAUGUGUAUAUACAUAGAUUUUUAAUUUAAUAAUAUUCCAUUGCUUAGAUGUACCACAGUUCAUUCAUCAGUUGAAAGGCCUUUGAGAUGCUCCCUCUUUGGGCAAUUAUGAAUAAUGUCACAAUCAACAUUUGCAUGCAGAUUUUGUGUGAACAUAAGAGUAAUUUCUCUUGGACUGGCAUGCCUGCUUUGUAUGGAUUGGUGAAGUGCUAAUAUUUAUUCCACUCCUGUCUUCUGAGCUCUAACCAAAUUGAGAACAACUACAAAAAAUGAGUAAUGUCAAGUAAGUCACCAGCAGAGAUCACAUUCAAGGGGAUUGGAUUACACAGAUUUUACAGAAGAAGUUGAAAUGGAGAAGCUUGAGGAUUAAAGUUGAUCUUGAAGCACUGUCCCCCAAGAAGACCUUUGCCUGCAAUCUCUGACAUUGGUACUCUCUGCAGUAUGUUUAUUGUUAUUGUUUUCUUAAAGGAUUCUAACAGAAAUCUACCAGCCUCAUUCACAAACUUUGCCUGUUCUAGCUGGUGAUAUUUACCAGAUAAUAGUGUGAGCAAACAUACCAUAUACUUCCUCUCUGAUAUCUGUGAGUAUAAUACUAAUUGGUAUAAUUAUAUUAUUAACACUUCUGUGAAAUAUUUUUGACAUUUGUAUUAAAGACUUUAUUAAUGAUAAUUACAUAAACUUAACUCUCUAACAAUUUUUAUGACUUUCCACUAUUCACUUUUAAAUAAGUCUUGGCCAUCACAAAAUUAUUAAUUUACAAAUGUGUUCUAGUUUGCUAGAAAAUAAUUUUUUUAAGAAAAUAUGUGGACUGGAGGCCGGGCACGGUGGCUCAC
rnacentral:lncRNA from 1 species